rnacentral:lncRNA from 1 species
GUUUAAGUUAUUUUCCAUUGCUUGCACUUAUUGUUCAUUGAUCUCUCUAUUGCACGUCAUUUAGCUGCUAAUACAAUGCAUGCAUAGUGGUCGACCGAUCGUCUUCUCACUCUAGUUUUGUACCUAAGCAUGGAUUCUUCACAAUUUGAUGCACUCACCCGACAAAUAGCAGCUAUCCAAAUCUAGAUAACUGCUACUCUUGAAGAGAGUAAAGCCCUCUCUGCGAAUUUGAACAAUUUUAAGUACAUUCCUCAUUCGACUAAUGUUAAUAAUUCUGAAGUGUCCCACAAUAGACAAUAUCGUCGUCGAUAAGGUGAUCAAAAAUAUUUUCAACACGAUCGUAAGGAUAGGGAUCAGGGUCGUGAGUGAGAACGAGGUCAUGGUCGUCAUGGUACUCAUUCUCUUCCUCUCCAUAAGGAGCGUUUUUUUAAAGACAUUAAAUUAGAUACUCCUACUUUCGAUGGUUGCUUAGAUUUUGAAGUUUUUACUCAAUGGACUGCUCUUAAACAAGGGAAUCGAUAAGUAACCGAGUAUAUUGCACAAUUUGAGGAAUUUCGAACCAAAUGUCAUGUCAUUGAGGAUGAGACCAUGACUUUGAGUAGGUUUAGCCAAGGUCUAAGAGAUGAUCAUAGGCGUGAGCUUUUCUUUCGAAAUGUUACAACUCUUGAUCAUGCUUAUUCUUUAGCCAGAGGUUAUGAGUUGACUAUUAGUACUUCAUAUGAAAAGCGCGAUCACCAUCGUUCACCCAUGUCAUUAGCGCCACCUCAACAUGAGCCUGUCAUAGAGCCUUCCCCAUCUAGUGUUCCUCCCAUUUGGACAAAUAAGUGUAAAGGUUGUGAUAGUUCAAGACCCUCUUCUCCAUAUAGAAGACGUAUUGACAACCAUUCUUCUGUUUCAUUAGCUCCACUUUCUCCCGUUAAGUCUCUUCUACGACUUUCCCCGUCUAAUGUUCCUCCAAUCUUGGAAAAUAAGGGUAAAAUUUUUGAAACUCCAAGGACUUCUUCUCACUUGCUAUACAUCAGCUGUAAGAACUUUGGCCACAUCUCUUCCAAAUGUCCAAACCGAGCCUUAGUCAUAGAAGAACGAGAGAAUGUAAUAGAAGAGUAGUUAGAAGAUUUAGUGUAUGAACCUAAACUUGAAGAUUUUGAUGAUGAUAGUGAGGACACCUCCUUAGGUGGCAUCCAGACUCUUCCUGAGACUCUGAAUACUAUAUCCCAUCAUUUCACUAGUCACUUUUGGAGAACCCAGUCGCCUAUGGCUAGGACUAAAUCGAAAUUCUCCACCGCAGACCAGCCUCAGACUGAUGGUUAAAAUGAAG